rnacentral:lncRNA from 1 species
GUCACAGCUACACUAGAGGGCACUUGAACCCCACUUUUACUGCAGACCAAGUCAUUGACUCAGGUAUUGGUGGUGCUUUUGGAAGGGGGGCGAGGAAUGGGGAAGUGGAGGAGGGCAACGGGAGGGGUAUAUUUAUUUUAACAUCUUCAAUAAACCCAUCGGUAUUUGAGGAAGCUUCCACGUCAGACUUUGGGGACCAAAACCUUAAUUAUACAAUAUAAUUGUUGUUAAUGGAACGUGUACAUUUCAACCCAGCAAGAUUGGUGGUGUUUAAUGCCAGCAUGACAUAUUUCCCAAAUUGUGGUCUUUAUUUGUAUAAAUAGGAAAGAAGCAAAAAUUGCAUCAGCUCUCUGCAUAAUGAAGAGGGAGGGAAGUGCAGCCUGUGCUGUGGUGGCCAGAUGCUCUUUUAUCUCUUUUCAAAUCAACAUGCAGAGCUGGUGGCCCUCAAACAGAAAGCAUCUUUCCCAAGGGAUGGCAGAACUGUACGUUUGGAAUGAUAACAUUCCAUAAAUAAAUAAAAAAGAUUAUUAAGAACGCUGUGUAAAUCUCCUAGUCAAACACCCCUUCAAGCAACCAUCAUCAGUAAUUCAGUUUGGUCCCUUAAUCCCACUGUAUACAAAUACACAGCAUAAAUACAGUAUUUAACAAGCACCAGAGAGAAAGCAGCACUCUUGCAAUAAAGACUCAUUUAGGAAGAAUGAACAUGCCUUGCCCCCAGUCCUGCUGGCCGCCCCCAGGAUUCAGUUCUUGAUUUGACUCUCCCACCUGGAUGAGAUGUCCAGCUCACAUGACUGAAUCCCUGGCAUAACCCCCUAUUUAAAUAAAACCUAAAAAUAUUAACUUUGGUCCCACAACCUUUUUGUUCCACAUCAGGGAAUUCACAGGGUAUCCAUUAGAAACCAUAUCACAUUUACAAGGCUCCACGGACUUCCUUAAGCCUUGAUGCUCCAACGGGUUAUACAGGCUAAGAGGUGGGGAUGAGUGCAGAUCCGAAGUGGGUGGGUGAGGAUCUCCCAGCCUCUCAGCCCUGGCACGGGGACUUGCUUUUCUCCAGGCUAUCUGGUUCUCUCUGUUUAUUCUCUGCCUGCUUUCCUUGUGUCUCUCGUUGUUUCUCUCUAAAUCUCCAUCUUUCCCUCUCUGUCCCUCUCCCCCUCCCUCCUUUCCUCUCUGUCUUUGUAACUCUCCCUCAAUUUUACUCAUUUUAGUGGUUCACUCUUUGGAUCUAGGACCUUGGUCAGCAUGAGCAUUGCACUCACAGAGAGGGUGACACGUUUCCUGAUGCCUGAAAGAGAGAAAUAAGAUGGCCCAGGAGACUCCAGGGCACUCUGCCCACUAAGCAUCUUUUUGUGAGUGAGAGGCCAUUUCUCCAGCUGUCCAUUGCAGCAUUCCACAACCCAGACUGCUGCUGUCCAUGCUGAUUGGUGUUUGAGAGGGCAGAAUGGACCCCUGAUUCACUUCCCAUCAGGAACACUUGCCACCAGGAAACCCCCUCAAUCUACUCUUCCCUUGCCCUUUAAGACCUUCUAUUUCAGGGUCCUCCCCCUGCCAGAUUGAAAGAUGACAGACUGAGGACAAGCCCUAAGGGGACAGAGAGUCUAAGGCUCCAUGUUCCAACUCUGCAAGCCCCACCUCAGCUCAACUCAACACCUUAGACCUUCAGCUCACAGUUCUCUACAGGACACUUGUGAAAACUUGGAAAAUAUUAAUUGCUUAACAGUCCGCUUGCAAGUUGAACAGGCAGAUAAGGAGGAAAAGCCUUUCUUCUUUGACAAGCUUUCCAUGAAACAUAACCCCAGGUUUGUUUCUUCACUUAUUUUUCCCUUUAAUAAAUGUGAUGGGGUAGUUUGGAGUGAGUCUGAGCAUUGUGGUUAAAUAGGAAAAAAUGCUGCUUCGGACCUCAAUUACAUUGCACAAAAGCUAUCCCAGAGGUCUGUCUCCCGCUCCCCUGUGCCUGAUGCUUCAGCAGCUGCUCAAGGAGAGACAAUUCCCUGAGGUGCCUCUGGCCCUGGUGCUGUCGAGCCAGUGCAGGGGAGGCCAGGAGACCCCACAGCUGGGUAAGGCUUCUCCCUUUGAGGCAGCCUCCAAGACUUAAAGGAAUUCUUGUUUACUACAAACUGGCUAUGAACUACAGCCCUUGAUGUUUUCUAUGCCUGGGCCUCUGUGUGUGAUUUCAGAAAGCCAUGUAAAAAAAAACAAGAGACCUUAGGUCAGAUAUGGUAAAUAGAGUAUACAUGUUUAUCCUUCUCCCGCCUAAAUCCUGAUUGAAAUGACAAUAAAAGAAUUAAAAAGAUGUAAACCCACAAGUCAGCAAGAACAGGAGAGGUAACAGCUGUAGGUAAGAAGUCAGAUUUGUGGAGCGGGGAAGGGAUGGGGAAAUGGUAAUUACCUCAGCAGAGGAGAAGAGGCUAUAAUGGAAGAACACACAAGUUCACCCACAGAACCCUUGACAGACUGGACAUCUGCACACCAUAGCUUCCGUGGAAGCUGGCAGGAGGCCUGGGCUUGGAGCAGAGAUACUGACUAAAAGUCUGUAUUUGUACACAGUAUGUAUCUGCUUCUUCCCUCACUCCACCCCAGCUCACCAAACACUAGCUCUUUCCCUCUGGCCUCUCCCAACCCAUUCCCUGCUCCAUCCUUUCCAGGCAGGUAAACAUGUCUUCUUUAGAGAACUUCAACCAGAGAAUCUUCAUGUUCUGGUAACAACAGGGUGUGAGGCUGAAAACAAGGCACUAGGUGGAAGUCUGUCUUCCAAGUGCCCUUUCUGUCUCUGCUUCCAGAACACGAGUGCCCAGAUGUAUACAUUCCAGGCAUGAAAAUGAAGGAUAAUUCUCCAAAAAGACUGACUGGCCCUUGGGACAAGAUCCACAGAGACUUCAUCUGAAACGUUCUUCAUCAAUCAAGUAAGCCCACUCAUCUAUUGAUAAUGCUUACUGAGGGGCAAGCCACCCCAUGCACAUAAAGUCUCCUCUUAGCUUUUUAGUGUACCACUUCUUAAUCAUAAAUAAACAUUUAAGGAUCACCAGACAUUUGUAGAAGACCUCAACUAUGAAAAAAGAGAACUUAACAAAUAAACUUUUUUUGGAAGGCUGAGAAGACAUAGAGACAAUAGAGGGAGCAGAAAAAUAAAUAACAAAAACAAACAACCCUAUAGAUAUUAUUGUCAUCUGAAAGUUUUGAGAAAGUAUUGCAUUCAUGAAACAAGAAUAAGAUGCAAUUAAAAAGUAUAAUCGGAGUGAAAAAAUGAAUUAGCCAAGAUAAAAAAUAUUCAAUAGAACACUUGGAAGAUAAGGUUGAGUAACUCUCCUUGAAAAGCCAAAGAAAAAGAUGAGAAUGAAGAGAAAGAAAAUUAGGGGACCAAGCCAAUGUAUCCAACAUCUGAAAUUCCAAGAAGGGAAAGUGGAGAGAAUUAUGGGGUGGAAAUAAUCUAAUAAGUGGUUUAAUUUCCCAGAACUGAAAGACAUGAGUUUCCAGAGAAGGCCCAGCAUCAUGUAUUUAAAACAACAACCAAAAAAACUACCUAAGCAAAUAUUAUGAAAUUUCAGAAUAUCAGAAAUAGGACAGAUUGUAAGUUGACAGAGAAGAAAACCUGUCACAAAGGAUAAGGAAUAAAAAUGGCAUCAUGCCUCUUACUAGCAACACUGAGGCCAGACAACAACAUAACAAUUGAUAUUCUGAGAAAAAAAGCAUGUUCAGUCUACAUCUAUACCAAGACACACUCUUAAUCAAGUAUGAGGGUAAAACAAUGAACUUUCAGAUAAACACAGACUAAGGUAAUAUGCCUCUUAUGCACCCUUUCUCAAGACUAACUGGAGUCAGUGUUUCCCUAAAAUGUUUAAUCAGCUAACAAGGUGCUAUGAUGUGGAUAUUUGACCCUCCAAAUAUCAUGUUGAAAAUUGAUCCCCAUUGGUAGAGGUAGGGCCUGGUGGGAGGUAUGGGUUGUGGAGGUGGAUCCCUCAUGAAUGGCUUGGUGCCAUUCUCGCAGGAAUGAGUGAGUUCUCACUCUUAGUUCUCAUGAAAAUUCGUUGUUGAAAAGAACCUGGCACCUACUCCCCAUUGCUCUUUCUUCCCUUCGCCAUGUGAUGCCUGCUGCCCUUCAUCUUCCACCAUGACUGGAAGCUUCCUGAGGUCCCCACCAGAAGCAG